UACGGGGGGAGCAAGCGUUGUUCGGAAUCACUGGGCGUAAAGCGCACGUAGGCGGCUUGUUAAGUCAGGGGUGAAAUCCUGGAGCUCAACUCCAGAACUGCCUUUGAUACAGCACGUCUCGAGUCCGGAAGAGGUGGGUGGAAUUCCUAGUGUAGAGGUGAAAUUCGUAGAUAUUAGGAAGAACACCGGUGGCGAAGGCGGCUCACUGGUCCGGUACUGACGCUGAGGUGCGAAAGCGUGGGGAGCAAACAGG
rnacentral:rRNA from 1 species